UACAGAGGUCUCAAGCGUUGUUCGGAUUCAUUGGGCGUAAAGGGUGUGUAGGUGGCGCGCUAAGUCGGGUGUGAAAUUUCGGAGCUUAACUCCGAAACUGCAUUCGAUACUGGCGUGCUUGAGGACUGGAGGGGAGACUGGAAUUCAUGGUGUAGCAGUGAAAUGCGUAGAGAUCAUGAGGAAGACCAGUGGCGAAGGCGGGUCUCUGGACAGUUCCUGACACUGAGACACGAAG
rnacentral:rRNA from 1 species